GACGAACGCUGGCGGCGCGCCUAACACAUGCAAGUCGAACGAGCAAAGAGGAGCUUGCUUCUCUGAGCGAGUGGCGAACGGGUGAGUAACGCGUGAGGAACCUGCCUCAAAGAGGGGGACAACAGUUGGAAACGACUGCUAAUACCGCAUAAGCCCACGGUACCGCAUGGCACUGAGGGAAAAAGGAUUUAUUCGCUUUAGGAUGGACUCGCGUCCAAUUAGCUAGUUGGUGAGGUAACGGCCCACCAAGGCGACGAUUGGUAGCCGGACUGAGAGGUUGAACGGCCACAUUGGGACUGAGACACGGCCCAGACUCCUACGGGAGGCAGCAGUGGGGGANAUUGCACAAUGGGGGAAACCCUGAUGCAGCGACGCCGCGU
rnacentral:rRNA from 1 species